AAUAAGUGCAGUUUUGCACUUUUCACGUUCAACGUUUGACCGUUCGUCUUAUUUAAAAUUUUUUUAUGAUUAGUAUUUUUAUUGCUAUUAGAGGAUAAAACAUGAAUAGUACUUUAUGUGUGACUAAUUUUUUUAAAAUUUUUUCAUUAAUUUUUCAAAUAAGACGGACGGUCAAACGUUGGACACGGAUAUCCACGGCUGCACUUAUU
rfam:Oryza barthii chromosome 1, whole genome shotgun sequence.